GACGAACGCUGGCGGCGUGCUUAACACAUGCAAGUCGAACGGUAAGGCCCUUCGGGGUACACGAGUGGCGAACGGGUGAGUAACACGUGAGUGAUCUGCCCUGCACUUCGGGAUAAGCCUGGGAAACUGGGUCUAAUACCGGAUAGGACUCCGGACUGCAUGGUCUGGGGUGGAAAGCUUUUGCGGUGCGGGAUGGGCCCGCGGCCUAUCAGCUUGUUGGUGGGGUGAUGGCCUACCAAGGCGACGACGGGUAGCCGGCCUGAGAGGGUGACCGGCCACACUGGGACUGAGAUAGGGCCCAGACUCCUACGGGAGGCAGCAGUGGGGAAUAUUGCACAAUGGGCGCAAGCCUGAUGCAGCGACGCCGCGUGAGGGAUGACGGCCUUCGGGUUGUAAACCUCUUUCAGCAUCGACGAAGCGAAAGUGACGGUAGGUGCAGAAGAAGGACCGGCCAACUACGUGCCAGCCGCCGCCGUAA
rnacentral:rRNA from 1 species